rnacentral:rRNA from 1 species
GACAGAGGGUGCAAACGUUGUUCGGAAUUACUGGGCGUAAAGCGCGUGUAGGCUGCUCUGCAAGUCGGAUGUGAAAGCCCUGGGCUCAACCUAGGAAGUGCACUCGAAGCUGCAGAGCUCGAGUCUCGGAGAGGAUCGCGGAAUUCUCGGUGUAGAGGUGAAAUUCGUAGAUAUCGAGAGGAACACCGGUGGCGAAGGCGGCGAUCUGGACGAUGACUGACGCUGAGACGCGAAAGCGUGGGGAGCAAACAGG